rnacentral:rRNA from 1 species
AAGUCGAGGGGAAACGGCAUUGAGUGCUUGCACUCUUUGGACGUCGACCGGCGCACGGGUGAGUAACGCGUAUCCAACCUUCCCAUUACUGUGGGAUAACCUGCCGAAAGGCAGACUAAUACCGCAUAGUCUUCGAUGACGGCAUCAGAUUUGAAGUAAAGAUUUAUCGGUAAUGGAUGGGGAUGCGUCUGAUUAGCUUGUUGGCGGGGUAACGGCCCACCAAGGCGACGAUCAGUAGGGGUUCUGAGAGGAAGGUCCCCCACAUUGGAACUGAGACACGGUCCAAACUCCUACGGGAGGCAGCAGUGAGGAAUAUUGGUCAAUGGACGGAAGUCUGAACCAGCCAAGUAGCGUGCAGGAUGACGGCCCUAUGGGUUGUAAACUGCUUUUGUAUGGGGAUAAAGUUAGGGACGUGUCCCUAUUUGCAGGUACCAUACGAAUAAGGACCGGCUAAUUCCGUGCCAGCAGCCGCGGUAAUACGGAAGGUCCAGGCGUUAUCCGGAUUUAUUGGGUUUAAAGGGAGCGUAGGCUGGAGAUUAAGUGUGUUGUGAAAUGUAGACGCUCAACGUCUGAAUUGCAGCGCAUACUGGUUUCCUUGAGUACGCACAACGUUGGCGGAAUUCGUCGUGUAGCGGUGAAAUGCUUAGAUAUGACGAAGAACUCCGAUUGCGAAGGCAGCUGACGGGAGCGCAACUGACGCUAAGCU